UUUAUAAGGUUAUAUGUUAGGGAUUAGCUGAAAUAUCUAUGGGGAGGGAGGUUUAGUAUGUUGGACAUGCAAUAUGCUAUGUAUGUCGUGUAUGACUAAUUUUUCUUUUUUUCCUGUCUUUCUAUUUUAUUUUAUCUUCUCUUUUUUUAUUUAUUUGUCUUUUCUCUUUUUAUUUUUCUUUACUUUUCUUUUUUCUGCCUCCACUAACAAGUUUUACAUGUACUGGUGAUUGAAAUAUUCCUGCAGGAUUCCACGA
rnacentral:lncRNA from 1 species